GUGCUUGCCUGGGCAGCACAUGUACUAAAACUGGAACGAUGACGAGAAGAUCAGCAUGGCUCCUGGGCAAGGAUGAGAUGUGCAAAUUCAUGAAUCGCUCAACAUUAAU
ensembl:snRNA U6 U6 spliceosomal RNA